rnacentral:rRNA from 1 species
GAAGGGGGCUAGCGUUGUUCGGAAUUACUGGGCGUAAAGCGCGCGCAGGCGGUCCUUCAAGUCAGGGGUGAAAGCCCAGAGCUCAACUCUGGAACUGCCCUUGAGACUGUGGGACUUGGGUACGGGAGAGGUGAGUGGAAUUCCGAGUGUAGAGGUGAAAUUCGUAGAUAUUCGGAAGAACACCAGUGGCGAAGGCGGCUCACUGGCCCGUUACCGACGCUCAGGCGCGACAGCGUGGGGAGCAAACAGGAUUAGAUACCCUGGUAGUCCACGCCGUAAACGAUGGAUGCUAGCCGUUGGUAAGCAUGCUUAUCAGUGGCGCAGCUAACGCAUUAAGCAUCCCGCCUGGGGAGUACGGCCGC